GACGAACGCUGGCGGCGUGCCUAAUACAUGCAAGUAGAACGCUGAAGAGAGGAGCUUGCUCUUCUUGGAUGAGUUGCGAACGGGUGAGUAACGCGUAGGUAACCUGCCUUGUAGCGGGGGAUAACUAUUGGAAACGAUAGCUAAUACCGCAUAACAAUGGAUGACACAUGUCAUUUAUUUGAAAGGGGCAAUUGCUCCACUACAAGAUGGACCUGCGUUGUAUUAGCUAGUAGGUGAGGUAAUGGCUCACCUAGGCGACGAUACAUAGCCGACCUGAGAGGGUGAUGGGCCACACUGGGAAUGAGACACGGCCCAGACGCCUACGGGAGGCAGCAGUAGGGAAUCCUCGGCAAUGGGGGCAACCCUGACCGAGCAACGCCGCGUGAGUGAAGAAGGUUUUCGGAUCGUAAAGCGCUGUUGUAAGUCAAGAACGGGUGUGAGAGUGGAAAGUUCACACUGUGACGGUAGCUUACCAGAAAGGGACGGCUAACUACGUG
rnacentral:rRNA from 1 species